rnacentral:rRNA from 1 species
UACAGAGGGGGCAAGCGUUGUUCGGAAUUACUGGGCGUAAAGGGCGCGUAGGCGGCCCUCUAAGUCGAACGUGAAAUCCCUGGGCUCAACCCAGGAACUGCGUCCGAGACUGGGGGGCUAGAAUCCGGGAGAGGGAUGUGGAAUUCCUGGUGUAGCGGUGAAAUGCGUAGAUAUCAAGUGGAACACCAGUGGCGAAGGCGAGUCCCUGGACAACUCCUGACACUGAGGCACGAAAGCUAGGGGAGCAAACAGG